UCCCUCGUAGCUCAGUUGGUAAAGAAUCUGCCUGCAACGCAGGAGACCUGGGUUCGAUCCCUGGAAUGGAA
rnacentral:tRNA from 1 species